rnacentral:rRNA from 1 species
GCUCAGUAACACGUGGAUAACCUGCCCUAUCGUCUGGAAUAACCUCGGGAAACUGAGAAUAAGGCCGGAUAGUUCACAAAGCCUGGAACGGUUUGUGAAUCAAGAUAGGAUGGGUCUGCGGCGUAUCAGGUAGUAGGGGGUGUAAAGGACCCCCUAGCCUUUGACGCGUACGGGUGUUGGGAGACAUAGCCCGGAGAUGGAUUCUGAGACACGAAUCCAGACCCUACGGGGUGCAGCAGGCGCGAAAACUUCACACUGCAGGAAACUGUGAUGAGGGAACUCCAAGUGUGUGCACUAUGUGUACACUUUUAUGAACUUUUAAUCGGUUCAGGAAUAAGGGCUGGGAAAGACCGGUGCCAGCCGCCGCGGUAAUACCGGCAGCUCAAGUGGUCGUCGCUUUUAUUGGGCCUAAAACGUCCGUAGCCUGUUUGGUAAAUCUGUGGGUAAAUCAACUCGCUCAACGAGUUGAAUUCUGCAGAGACUGCCAGACUAGGGACCGGGAGAGGUGUGGGGUACUCGAGGGGUAGGGGUAAAAUCCUGUCAUCCUUCGAGGACCACCAGUUGCGAAGGCGCCACACUGGAACGGAUCCGACGGUCAGGACGAAGCCUAGGGCACGAACCGGAUUAGAUACCCGGGUAGUCCUAGGUGUAACGCUGUGAACUUGGUGUCGGGGGUCGCAGGGUCCCCGGGUGCCGGAUGAAGAUGUAGUCACUGCUGGGGAGUACGUCGCAGCUGAACUCAAAG